rnacentral:tRNA from 1 species
GCAUCCAUGGCUGAAUGGUUAAAGCGCCCAACCUAAUAAGGAAAGUAGGUUCGAUUCCUGCUGGAUGCA